GGAACGGAGCCACGGGCGGCCACAGCGGGAACAUCCCGGGGGGGAACGGGGGGAGCAUCCCCUGUGGGAAGUUUUGGGGCUGAGCCCCCGGGGGGCUCUGAGGCGGCGCCGGGUUCUGCUCUGCGGCUUCGGGGGGCGGCUGCGGGGGCAGAGAGGCCCGCAGGACGUCCAUGCGGCACGUGGGGCACGUCUGCUGCCGCUGGAACCACGAGCGCAGGCAGCUGGUGUGGAAGAUGUGGUUGCAGGGCAGGCGUUUGGCCCCCGUCACCAUUUCCUCGCGGCAGAUGAUGCAGACGUUGUCCGUGGACUGCAGCUCCUCCGGGGUGGCGUCGGGGUAA
rnacentral:lncRNA from 1 species